GAAACUAGGGAGGGUCCCUUCUGAGACAUUUGUCACUCCCCUAUUCUUUCUGUGGACUCAGCUGCCUUUUAUCUGAUCAUAAUGUAGUCUGCGGCUCUUCUUCCUAUCUUCCAAGGAGUCGUUUGCUUCCCUAAUCCAAACUGUAUAAUGACGUUCUCUGUGAGUCUCUAAUCCAAAUACAUCUUCAGACCAACCCUGCUUAGUUUCCAAUCCUGGACAAGAUCGCACAGCUACGUCCUUGCUAAGAGAUUGGACACAGCCAUGGCUAGAGAGGGUCUCAGCAGGUAUUCCAGUUCCAAUUGCCAUCAUUGACCGAGAACUACCUAUAUAUGAACUCUUCCUCAAAUGAAGGACACUGUGAAGCAAGACAGAUUGUUAAAACAGAAAUUUAUUAAAAUAGAUUUUGGAAAGAUGUGGG